ensembl:lncRNA
AUCUCUUUCUCUGGAGAUCACUCCUCUUGGAGCCCUUUUGGCAAGCCCAGGACAUGGACAGAUGCUACACACCAAAGAAGAAUGGAAUUGGAAUGAUAUAGAAGGGAAGAACCAGUGUAGACUUGGUUUUUCACAAUGGAAUUUUACUUCCUAGUCUUGAUUUUUUUUUUUCUCCUGGAAGGCAUUUUGCCUUGUCCUGUUUUCAGACAUCCAAUAGUAAAGCAAUGUCCUUGCUCACAUUAGGCCUUUACAUGUUGUAAAUGUAUUGGAAUUAAUGGCUCAACAGAUCUGUGCACUGAUUGCUGAUUAUUCACAUGUAUAUAAACCUCAGUGAAAAAUACACAAUAGUCUGUAAAAUAAGGAUUAAAAAGAACUAACAAGGUCUGUAGAGUUCAUUAUUAACUCACGAGAUACAUAUAUUACUUAUUUUAUAUAAUAUGAAAUACUUUCAAGAGAUCUAUUAGCAGCUGAGAUGCUUAUUUGUAUUCAAAACUAAACAUUUACCUAGAAGCAGCUUGAGUUUGGUGUCUCUUGGUUCCAUUUUUAUUUUUUAGUGUCCACCAUGUAAAAUCCUUUGGUCCUGAUACAACAAAUGGAGGAAAAUAUUUCAAAGCAGGACACAAAAAUAGAAUCUUAAAAUUCAGAGUUCUGAUUUUUGCUUCUCAGUUCUGUAUGAAGUGGCAGUUCAGCAGAAUUGUUUAAUCAAAAUAAGUAUGUAGUCCAGCAAUGGCUUUCUAACCCCAAAUGCAAAAAUGUUCAGUUAUUUUAUAUGUUAGGUAUACAAAUAAAAGAGUUAGUCAAGCACUUUCAUCAUUAGUUUCCCUUGUGUUGCAGUUUCCCUUGUGUUGCCUUCCUUUCCCUAAGGAUGGAUAACAUCACUAAAACAAGAGGGUUUGGAUUGUUUAUAUUCAUUUCCUUUAUUAAGUGUAAAUUUCCCUCUUGCUUAAGAGAACAUAGCAAUACCAAUAGUUUUCUACAAACAUACCAUCAACAAAUCUGUUGAGUACUGCAAACAUCUGUUGCAAUCAUGAAAAAGAAAACAAGAUACUUAGACACCACAGAACUCGACUAUGACCACAUUUUGAAUUAAUCUGUUUUCUGUCUUCAGUAUUGCUUUUUUCUUUUUAUUUUUUCUUUUGAUAAAUUUUCUGGUCUUUCUGCUUAUGUUUUUGCAUUUGUAUGGCAAACAGUGAUGACUAAGACUGUGACUGAGAAAUUAAUCCUCUAUUUUCUCUUUGCUUGAGUGAACCAAAUUAAACAAAUGAUCACAAAGUUUAACUUUCCUUGGUAUC